AACCUGCCUCAUACAGGGGGAUAACAGUUAGAAAUGACUGCUAAAACCGCAUAAGCGCACAUUGUCGAGUGACAGAGUGUGAAAAACUCCGGUGGUAUGAGAUGGACCCGCGUCUGAUUAGCUAGUUGGUGAGGUAACGGCCCACCAAGGCGACGAUCAGUAGCCGGCCUGAGAGGGCGACCGGCCACAUUGGGACUGAGACACGGCCCAAACUCCUACGGGAGGCAGCAGUGGGGAAUAUUGCACAAUGGGGGAAACCCUGAUGCAGCGACGCCGCGUGAGUGAAGAAGUAUUUCGGUAUGUAAAGCUCUAUCAGCAGGGAAGAAGAAAGACGGUACCUGACUAAGAAGCCCCGGCUAACUACGUGCCAGCAGCCGCGGUAAUACGUAGGGGGCAAGCGUUAUCCGGAUUUACUGGGUGUAAAGGGAGCGUAGACGGCUGUGCAAGUCUGAAGUGAAAGCCCAGGGCUCAACCCUGGGACUGCUUUGGAAACUGUGGAGCUAGAGUGCUGGAGAGGUAAGUGGAAUUCCUAGUGUAGCGGUGAAAUGCGUAGAUAUUAGGAGGAACACCAGUGGCGAAGGCGGCUUACUGGACAGUAACUGACGUUGAGGCUCGAAAGCGUGGGGAGCAAACAGGAUUAGAUACCCUGGUAGUCCACGCGGUAAACGAUGAAUACUAGGUGU
rnacentral:rRNA from 1 species